UAACCGGCGAUACCCGAAUGGGGAAACCCAGUGUGACUCGUCACACUAUCAUUAACUGAAUCCAUAGGUUAAUGAGGCGAACCGGGGGAACUGAAACAUCUAAGUACCCCGAGGAAAAGAAAUCAACCGAGAUUCCCCCAGUAGCGGCGAGCGAACGGGGAGGAGCCCAGAGCCUGAAUCAGCAUGUGUGUUAGUGGAAGCGUCUGGAAAGGCGCGCGAUACAGGGUGACAGCCCCGUACACAAAAGCGCAUGUGCUGUGAGCUCGAUGAGUAGGGCGGGACACGUGGUAUCCUGUCUGAAUAUGGGGGGACCAUCCUCCAAGGCUAAAUACUCCUGACUGACCGAUAGUGAACCAGUACCGUGAGGGAAAGGCGAAAAGAACCCCGGCGAGGGGAGUGAAAAAGAACCUGAAACCGUGUACGUACAAGCAGUGGGAGCACCCUUUGGGUGUGACUGCGUACCUUUUGUAUAAUGGGUCAGCGACUUAUAUUCUGUAGCAAGGUUAACCGAAUAGGGGAGCCGGAGGGAAACCGAGUCUUAACCGGGCGUUAAGUUGCAGGGUAUAGACCCGAAACCCGGUGAUCUAGCCAUGGGCAGGUUGAAGGUUGGGUAACACUAACUGGAGGACCGAACCGACUAAUGUUGAAAAAUUAGCGGAUGACCUGUGGCUGGGGGUGAAAGGCCAAUCAAACCGGGAGAUAGCUGGUUCUCCCCGAAAGCUAUUUAGGUAGCGCCUCGUGAAUUCAUCUCCGGGGGUAGAGCACUGUUUCGGCUAGGGGGCCAUCCCGGCUUACCAACCCGAUGCAA
rnacentral:rRNA from 1 species